ACACAAUGAAGUUCUAAAGAUAAUAUUAAGUACCUAUUUUAAAAGAUGUACAAAUCCUUGGCAUGUUUUGAUCAAUAAUAUUAAUUUACAACCAAAUGCAUAUAAUAUUACAAAUUGUUUUUUGACCUACAACAGCUACCUUGUGUAAUAUAUCAUAAUAAUUUUUUGCUUAAAAUGAUGCUAUGAAUUUCAAUGUAUAAUUCAUUAAAAUUUAAUAUAAUACCUAUAAGUUGUAUAAAAUCAAUCCAUUAUAAUAUUAUAAUACAUUGUUUUUUUUUUUAUGAUUAAUUAUUAUUGUGUUUCAGCUUUUUACACUAAAGUGUAAAGAUUUGGAAGAAAAUUUACUUAAUCAUUGUUCAAAAUGGGGAAUUUCGACGUUGGGUAAUCCAAGUCUAAUGCUACACCCCGAUGUCAUAUUGCAAAACAUAAAUUUACGAUUUACACUUAUUAAAAACAAAUUGUUAUAAAAAAAUAAAUAUUUUUAAACUAUUGCGAAGCAUGUAUUGUUAAAUUUUUGACUCGGUUUUUUUUUUACAAUGGUCAUACAACCUAUAGCAGUAUUAGUUAUAUCCAAUUUAUAAUAUUUAUGUUUUAUACAUCACAUCAGAAAUAUUCGUACAAAAAAAGUUGACAAUUAUUUC